rnacentral:tRNA from 1 species
GGUGAUGUAGCUCAGUCGGUAGAGCAUCGGACUGAAAAUCCGUGGGCCGGGGUUCGAGUCCUCUCAUCACCACCU